rnacentral:misc_RNA from 1 species
GGGAAAUGACAGCCAUGUAAUGCAUGAGAAAAAAUGGCAGAGGUGAUAGAGAAUCCCAAGUUGAUCAUGGGCACAAAAAAUGGUAAGUUGAUCAUGGGCACAAAAAAUGGUACUUGAACCAGCAAGGAAAAACUUAGAAGUUGAUUUUUGAUCUACCUUGAAAGGUAUGUCCACGUUGAUGGCAUUUAAUCGUUUACACUUGGGGAGUUUGGCAGGGAAAAGGAGAUACAUACAAGAAUUUCUUGUAAAUUUUUUAGCAUCCAAAGAAGUUGAUAUUAUUUUCUCUGAACUAUUUUUUUU